rnacentral:rRNA from 1 species
UUCCGGUUGAUCCUGCCGGAGGUCACUGCUAUCGGGGUUCGAUUAAGCCAUGCGAGUCGAGAGGGUUCGGCCCUCGGCGUACUGCUCAGUAACACGUGGAUAACCUGCCCUAGGGGAGGGGAUAACCCCGGGAAACUGGGGAUAAUACCCUAUAGGUUACAGAUGCUGGAAUGCCCUGUAACCAAAAGCUCCGGCGCCCUAGGAUGGAUCUGCGGCCGAUUAGGUUGUUGUUGGGGUAACGGCCCAACAAGCCCGUAAUCGGUACGGGUUGUGGGAGCAAGAGCCCGGAGUUGGAUUCUGAGACACGAAUCCAGGCCCUACGGGGCGCAGCAGGCGCGAAACCUUUACAAUGCGGGCAACCGUGAUAAGGGAACCUCGAGUGCCUGUAAACGCAGGCUGUUCAGGUGUUUAAAACGCACCUGGAGAAAGGGCCGGGCAAGACCGGUGCCAGCCGCCGCGGUAAUACCGGCGGCUCGAGUGGUGGCCGCUUUUAUUGGGAUUAAAGCGUUCGUAGCUGGGUUGUUAAGUCUCUUGGGAAAUCUGGCGGCUUAACCGUCAGGCGUCUAAGGGAUACUGGCAAUCUUGGAACCGGGAGAGGUGAGGGGUACUUCGGGGGUAGGGGUGAAAUCCUGUAAUCCUCGAGGGACCACCUGUGGCGAAGGCGCCUCACCAGAACGGCUUCGACAGUGAGGGACGAAAGCUGGGGGAGCAAACCGGAUUAGAUACCCGGGUAGUCCCAGCCGUAAACGAUGCGCGUUAGGUGUAUCGGUGACCACGAGUUACCGAGGUGCCGAAGGGAAACCGUGAAACGCGCCGCCUGGGAAGUACGGUCGCAAGGCUGAAACUUAAAGGAAUUGGCGGUGGAGCACCACAACGGGUGGAGCCUGCGGUUUAAUUGGAUUCAACGCCGGAAAUCACUAGUGCGGCCGCCUGCAGGUCGACCAUAUGGG